CAUUGUAAUUUGCAGAGGAUGCUUCGGGAGCGGCCCCCAUCUAAGUGCCCUGGAACGGGCCGUCAUAGAGGGUGAGAAUCCCGUAUGGGAUGGGGUGUCCGCGCCCGUGUGAAGCUCCUUCGACGAGUCGAGUUGUUUGGGAAUGCAGCUCUAAAUGGGUGGUAAAUUUCAUCUAAAGCUAAAUAUUGAUCGGAGACCGAUAGCGCACAAGUAGAGUGAUCGAAAGAUGAAAAGCACUUUGAAAAAAGAGUUAUUAAGCACGUGAAAUUGUUGAAAGGGAAGCGCUUGCGACCAGACUCGCCCGCGGGGUUCAGCCGGCAUUCNUGCCGGAGUACUUCCCCGUGGGAGGGCCAGCGUCGGGUUGGGCGG
rnacentral:rRNA from 1 species